rnacentral:rRNA from 1 species
UGUUGCAGUUAAAAAGCUCGUAGUUGGAUUUCGGAGUGGGCCAGUUGGUCCGCCGCAAGGUGUGUUACUGACUGGUUUGCUCUUCUUCGCAAAGACUGCGUGUGCUCUUCAGUGAGUGUGCGUAGGAUUUACGACGUUUACUUUGAAAAAAUUAGAGUGUUCAAAGCAGGCUAUUGCUUGAAUACAUGAGCAUGGAAUAAUGGAAUAGGACUUUGGUCCCAUUUUGUUGGUUUCUAGGACCGAAGUAAUGAUUAAGAGGGACAAUUGGGGGCAUCCGUAUUUCGUUGUCAGAGGUGAAAUUCUUGGAUUUACGAAAGACGAACAACUGCGAAAGCACUUGCCAAGAGUGUUUUCAUUAAUCAAGAACGAAAGUUAGCGGAUCGAAGACGAUCAGAUACCGUCCUAGUUCUAACCAUAAACGAUGUCGACUAGGGAUCAGCGGGCGUUACCGUACGACCCCGUUGGCACCUUACGGGAAACCAAAGUUUCUGGAUUCCCGGGGGAAGUAUGGUUGCAAAGCCUUGAAACU